CUACGGGCGGCAGCAGUCAAGAAUCUUCCACAAUGGGCGAAAGCCUGAUGGAGCGAUGCCGCGUGCAGGAAGAAGUCCUUCGGGAUGUAAACUGCUUUUAUAAGGGACGAAUUCGUGACGGUACCUUAUGAAUAAGAGGUUGCUAACUCUGUGCCAGCAGCAGCGGUAAUACAGAGACCUCAAGCGUUAUCCGGAAUUACUUGGCGUAAAGCGUCCGCAGGUGGUUUUAUAAGUUAAUGGUCAAAUCCUGGGGCUUAACUUCAGGACUGCUGUUAAUACUGUAAAACUUGAGGCCGGAAGAGGCAAGCGGAACUAUCGGUGUAGUCGUAAUAAGCGCUGAUAUCGAUAGGAACACCAAAGGCGAAGGCAGCUUGCUAGUACGUGCCUGACACUCAGGGACGAAAGCGUGGGUAGCGAAUCGGAUUAGAUACCCCUGUAGUC
rnacentral:rRNA from 1 species